GGCAUGGAGUCCUGUGGUAUCCAUGAGACCACUUUCAACUCCAUCAUGAAGUGUGACGUUGACAUCCGCAAAGACCUGUAUGCC
rnacentral:pre_miRNA from 1 species